GACAGAGGUGCCGAGCGUUAGGCGGAAUCACUGGGCUUAAAGCGUGUGUAGGCGGGUCGUUAAGUGUCUUGUGAAAUCCCACCGCUCAACGGUGGAACUGCUGGGCAUACUGGCGAUCUUGAGCCACCUAGGGGCAGACGGAACAAGCGGUGGAGCGGUGAAAUGCGCAGAUAUCAGGAGGAACACCGGUGGCGAAGGCGGCUCUCUGGGACGGUACUGACGCUGAGACGCGAAAGCGUGGGGAGCGAACAGG
rnacentral:rRNA from 1 species